CUUGCGGGUUUCCCAGAUGAUGGCACCCGAGAACUUAAACAAAGAGGGCUGCCGCCGGCGCGCCGCGGCUGCAGAAAGUUGCGGUGGCGGAUUUCCAAGGACCGCGGCCACCUGAGUUCCCGGCGAGGCGACCUCCCCUUCACCCCCACCGAGAGGGAGAUGGGGGCCGGCGCGUGGAGAGGAGAGGAAACUUUGAAAACCCACUGGGGACACAUCUGUCUAUAGAAUUAUCCCGAACGCCCGGAGCCGGCGAGGGAACGCCAACGUUUGGGCCGGACACUAAGAACAACUGCUGGGAAAAAAAUAAAACACCAACAACCCCAACCGUCAGCAGCAAGGUAACAGAGCAAUUCGACAUCAUUUUUGCCUGUUCCUUUUUUUUUCUUCCUUCCUUGUUAUAUUUGUUUCCUAAUUUCUGCCCAAAAGGAAAGAUGUCGCAUCAGACUGUGCGUGUCGCGAGGAGAAUGCACAAGGACGCUUGUUUCAGAGGCCAUCCAGAGCUCUGGCAAUAGCAACUUCAGAGAAAUGCACGAUCGCAAGAAGUUUUCGUAGGACAGAACAAAACUUGCUAACAGAGGACCGGAGGGGGAGAGCCGGAGCCCGUCGCCCCUCUGCUGCUCCGCACGCGCGAGCAGCCCGCCUCACCACGCCUUCCAGGACGAAAAAAGUUUUAACUACUCCGAGGAGGAACGAGUGAAAAGUGUUGGCGAGGAGGAGAAGAGUUCGCAGCCGGGAAGGAGCGCGGCGGGGCCAGUCACCGGCCGUCUUUACUUUGGCUCAGGAAGGAGGGGACACCUUCUUUCUUUGUUGUUUGCCCGAGAAAACCUUCACUUAGCAGGUGGACUCCGCGCGCCCCGGGAGAGCGCCCCGAGAGCCCGUCCCGCCCCGCCCGGCGAGCCC